UGAGGUCUGCGGUACCACGGAAACUGGUUCAGGGAGACUCAGGCUACUGCUAAGAGGCAACGGAGAGAGGAGAGAAUAAGAGCAGAGUGGACAAGAGCUUGCGGAACAGAGCACAAAUGCUCGGCGAGAUCAGCAGCCAGGACCAGCUGGACAGUCCGUGAGAAAGAAACCAGGAGCCCACUCCUCGCACGCCUUCCUCCAGGGCAGAAGCCCCUUGGAGCCCUGUGACCUUUGCGCACAAUCAGGUCUAGUGUGCGUGUUUACGAACGAAAAAACACAAUGGUUGGAGAAAGGAAAGGGGAACAGGUCCCCCUCCAGCUCCACGCGAUUGAUUCAGUGAGCUGGGUCAGUCAGUGGGCCGAAGCGAGCGGGCGAGAGGAACCAGGCGGUGCCAGGGACGCCGAGGACGGAGACCUGGAGGGCGGGACAGCGCACCCCGCUCCUCCCCAGGCCGGGCGGACCCGAGACCUCGACCCGCCUCUCCCGCGCGGUCCCCGUCACGGCGCCAGCGGGUAGCCAUGACGGGCCGCCUGCUGCGGGGCCUGUGGCAGCGAUGGCGCCGUUACAAGUACCGCUUCGUUCCCUGGAUCGCGCUGAACUUAAGCCACAACCCGAGGACUCUUCGAUAUGUUCCAGAGGAAUCCAAAGACAAAAUUAUCUCAGAUGAAGAUGUCCUAGGAACAUUACUGAAAGUUUUCCAGGCACUAUUCUUAAAUGAUUUCCAUAAACAAUCAGAUAUCUUGACUAUCCUUCCAGAACCCGUUAAGUCAAAAUAUCAAGACCUGCUGGCAGUUCAGUAUCAAAGGGUGAAUCUACUUGAAAACAAACAUCAACAGCAAAAUAUCUUUAAACCAGAAGAAAUUCUUUAUAAGACAUUGGGUUUCAGUGUUGCUCGAGCAACUAGCUCACUGAUUUCUGCGGGAAGAGGUGUCUUCGUUACUAAAGGAUUGGUACCAAAAGGCGCAGUUGUAUCUAUGUAUCCUGGUACAGUAUAUCAAAAGUAUGAGCCAAUCUUUUUCCAGUCCAUUGGAAAUCCAUUCAUUUUUAGAUGCCUGGAUGGGGUACUCAUUGAUGGAAAUGACAAAGGGAUAUCAAAGGUUGUGUACAGAUCUUGUAAUGGAAGAGAUCGACUUGGACCUUUAAAAAUGAGUGAUAGUACAUGGCUAACAUCAGAAAUUCAUAAUCCACUGGCCAUCGGACAGUAUGUCAACAAUUGUUCAAAUGGUAAUUUCACAUCAUGGGGCUAUGAGACAAGACAGAGCAGCUAAUGUCUGUUAUCAGGAAUUUGAUGUGCCUGCAGUUUUCCCUGUAGAACUGAAGCAGUAUCUUCCAAACAUUGCUUACAGUUAUGAAAAACAAAGCCCACUUCGAUGUGUUGUUCUUAUUGCACUUAGGGAUAUUGAGCAAGGAGAAGAGCUUUUUUCAAACUACUACACAAUUGUCAGCUAACUUGGCGAGUUAGAAAUUAGGUUUUUUACUUAGCUAUUAAAUCUAAGUGUAUUUUUGUUAAUCACUUCUCUGAGUUCUACCUGUAGAACAAAUAUUUUGAAAUCUAAUGGAGUAUGUUUCUAUUAAUAUAUAUUUACGUUCCAUUUUCAAUGGUAAAAGUUAUUUGCUUCAUUACAAUUUCAAACUUGUAAUGCAAUUUGAGUUUUAAUCGAUUUUCACCUAAAUACACAAUAACUUAUUAAAACUACUUGGACUUGUAGUUUCAAUUUUUCUUGUAUUUAUUUUGUAUACCUCUGUGAUGGUUUAUAAAAUUUAGCCAGGCAUCAGCAAUUCUUGUAGUACUGUUAAUGUUUACAAACUUUUGUAAAAACAUUUAUUUUUAUAGGAUAAAGUAAAACACCUUUGGUUGCUAUAAGUAAAUUGGUGUGUACAUGUGUAAUUUUAAAGGUUGUUUCAGCUGAGUAAGGGGAAAUGUAAGGUCAUUAUUUAUUUUCUUAUUGAAAAAUUCCACACACACACACACACACACACACACACACACACACACACAAAUUUCCGGCAGUGUGCAAGAGAUAUUUCAGCCUGAGAAUACAAGUAAAGGAUAGUUGUUAGGAAUCUCUCUCUUCUGCAUGGCUCAUAGUUCUGUGUAGGGCUUCCUUUAGUAAUGCUUCUAGCUUCUUUCCACUCAUUAGAGACCAGUUUUCUGAGUGUCUUCUGGAGAACUAGGCACCCAUAGCCCACUUCUCCAGCUCUUUCUUUGUGGAGAAAAAAAUGUAAGUCUGUACAGUUGCAGCUCUGAGGCCACCUGCCUGAUUUUUAUUAGUAAUGUUACUUUGAUCUUCAUCCACCUAACUCCUGUUCAAACUAUCAAUUCCAAACUUGGGUAGGAAAGAGGAUAUUUAUUGAUCCCCGCAAAUCCUCAUGGAAACUGUAUAAUCAGAUUCUGACCACCUUCACUGCUGUGCUUACCAGCUUUACUCACUAGUUUAUUGCAAUUUCAAUGGCUUCCUUUUGGUUUCCCUUUUUCCACUCCUGCCCCUCACAGAAAUCUCCAAGAGUGAUUAUUUUAAAUCAAAGUCAGGUUUUUGACACACUCCUAUUCAAAACUCAUCUAAGAGUAAAUGCUGAAGUCCUUCACAUACAUGAUCUAGCUGCUUAUUAUCUCAAAUUUCAUCUGUUCUUCCCCACUCAUUCCAUCCCAGCCACACCCGCCUCCUAGCUACUCCUUGUACCUUUCUCAGGGAAAUUGUACUGUGCCUGCAGAGACCUUCCCCCAGAUAGUCUUGUAGUUCUUUCUCUCCCUUUCUGUCACAUUCUCAGUGAGGCUUAUCUAACCACCUUAAUGAAAUUCACAACACCCUACUCCCAUCCAGCAUUCCCCAUUCCACUUCCCCAUUUUUUUGAAUAGCACUUAUGACCAGAAAGCUCAUAUUACAGUAGAGACACAAUUAGGAAAUUCCAGAAGUGGAAACAGAGAAGCCAGUUAGGAAUAUCUUGGCCAUGAUGUCCCUAGAAGUUACUGGAGAUUAUUCUGCUUUCACAGGGCUUCUCCUGAAAUCCCAUGUAGCUCUCUUAUAGCACUUGACAGCAUUUUUGGCUGUGUUCUAAAUACUUGUGGUGCUCUGUGCAUGCAUGGACCACAAAUCUCUCACAGGAAAGCCCUUUGGCGUCUAAGAAUGAAAGAAUGUACUUCUAGACAAGUAACCAAGGCAUAGUAGAGGUGUUUGCCUUCAUUUGUCCCUUUCUUGACCUUGUACAAAAUCUGUUAUGUGUAAUCUGAUAACUGCAUUGUACCAAUGUGCCCAGCUGGUAGGUAAGGGCAUUUUAAGAAUGGAACUAUGGCACAUGCCUGUAAUCACCAGUGGCUCGAGAGGCUGAGACAGGAGGAUCUCGGGUUCAAAGCCAGCCUCUGCAAUGGGGAGGCACUUAAGCAACUCAGUGUGGCUCAGUGGUUGAGUGCCCCUGAGUUCAAUCCCUAAUACUUUAAAAAAAAAAAAAAAUGGAGCUAGAGAAAGCUCUAGUCAGAGCAAAUGAAAUACAGGGA